rnacentral:tRNA from 1 species
GGUGGGAUGGCGAAGUCUGGCUAACGCCGCGGACUGCAAAUCCGUUAUGCGCGGGUUCGAAUCCCGCUCCCACCUCCA